AUUUCCUCUCUCCUGUCUUGAAAACAGGGAAUAGAUGAUAUCUAGGGAAUU
rnacentral:tRNA from 1 species